ensembl:lncRNA
AUGGUAACAUUUUCCUUUCCGGCUGUAAAUCUGUGUGAUGUGUCCAGGCUGUCCCUGCUGGGACUCAUCCUUCACAGCAGUCACUCAACAGAGGGACCAAAUUUCCUGGUGCCAGGGCCAGAGGGGGACAGUGCCAGCCCUGUUGGAGAAGCAGAGGAGCUUCCUAAGAAUGGAAAGUCUACAAAAGCAAGAGAAGGCACAGCAGGUGACCUGUCCCAGAUGGAGCCAGGGGGACACAGGGGAACUGAGGAGCCCCAGGAUGAGUCGGUGUCACUUUGGCCAGGAUCCGUUCCCAGACUCAGGAUCCAGCCCCUGACUCUGCUGGUGGUGGAGAAAAUCCUGUUAAAUCCAGAGGAGCAAAAUCUUUCAACAGGGCAGGAUACACCCCAGUAUGCCCCAGGUCCUCUGGCAGAAGAGCCCAUCUGAAAGCCCUUGGUCACCAAACCCAGCAAAAGCCCAGCAUGGAGCUGAUGAUCCCUGUUGGCCUCUCCCAACUCAGGAUAUUUAAUAAUUCUCUGAAACACUGAGCUGCCCAUACAUUCCUCUGCCUGUUACAGGCAGUGAGGAGGUGCUGUGCCUUACACCAGCUUCUGGGAACAGCAAAUUGCUUAUUCCUCCUUAUGACUGCCUUAUAGAAUGUUUUUAUUCUUUGUGGGAAUCUGACUCAAGAAGGAAAAAAAAAUCUAAUGAAAAUCUCUAAUGAAAUAGUAUCAGGUUUUCUGAUUUCUGAGAAUUGGCAGAGGAAUUCCUGGCUAUGAACUGAACUGCAAUGCAACAGAAACAACUCCAGAGGUUCCUGUUUCAGGAAAACACUUAAGAAUACACUUAAUUUUCAAGUCAAUUUAGUUUGCCCUCAGAGUAGUGCUGCUGGUAUGUGCUGAAUACAGAUGGCUUAAGGCUGCAUAGUUCCUCCAAAUGUUUAGCAUGAAACGCAUUCAGCUGGAGGAUAUAUUCUGCAAAUGAUGAAGAAUCACAAAAUCCCAGAAUUCCAGCUUGGGACUGACCUCAAGGAUCAUCCAAUCCAACCUUUCUUGGCAAAAGCAUAGCCUAGACAAGUGGGCCAAGCACAAAAAGAAGUUACUAGUCAUGAAUUAGCAGUGUUAGUGAGAAUACUACAUAUUGGUGCAGAAGGGUUUUGUUUCAAGAAAAGGAUCCUGUGUGUUCUGAAGUGAAUGUAUCCACUGCCUCAGCUUCAAAGCUACCUUGGGUAACACGUGGGAAAGGUGGGACUGCACAGAGCCUCAAGAGAGAUGUGAGGAAUGUGAUACUCAAGAGGACUCUCUUAACAACACAGGAAUUUUGAAACUUCAUUUGGCAUCAGCAGCUGGAAGGAAGAAGUGCAACCAAGAAGCAAUGAGGAUUCCUGCCCCCUGAUUUUGUGUUUAAAAAAAAAGUCAGGCAGAAUUCCAGCACUGUGUAGUUGGAACUACCAAUGUUCCUCCUCUCCUUUCUUCCGGCUGACGAGCAUCUCAUUUAUGGAAAACCUUUAGGUAAUUUUUUCCCCCAGUGCUAGUGCACACCGUGCUAUCCAUGUCUUCUGCACCUGAUGUGUGUCAUUUUCCAUGAGGUCUGAUUCUUUUUAGUACUAGUUUGUUGCUCUACCAGGAAUUUUAGGCAUCACUCCCUUCUGAUGUAAUGGAUGAACGCUUGUGAUCGGAAGUAAUUUGUGCAGAUGAAGUGAUUUGAGAGCAGACACUGCUGAGAGCUGGGACUAGGUCAUCAUGAAGGCAGUCUGGGAAUAAAAAAAGCUUGAGUGUGUGUAAAGAAAUGAAU